GAAAUGCGAUACGUAGUGUGAAUUGCAGAAUUCAGUGAAUCAUCGAAUCUUUGAACGCACAUUGCGCCCUUUGGUAUUCCAAAGGGCAUGCCUGUUCGAGCGUCAUUUGUACCCUCAAGCUUUGCUUGGUGUUGGGCGUUUUUGUCUUUGGCCCGCCAAAGACUCGCCUUAAAAUGAUUGGCAGCCGGCCUACUGGUUUCGCAGCGCAGCACAUUUUUGCGCUUGCAAUCAGCAAAAGAGGACGGCAAUCCAUCAAGACUCCUUCUCACGUUUGACCUCGGAUCAGGUAGGAAUACCCGCUGAACUUAAGC
rnacentral:misc_RNA from 1 species